rnacentral:lncRNA from 10 species
CAAACUGAAUUUAUGCAAAUCCGUGUUUGUGGUUUGGCUGUGGUCAGCCUCAGGAAACAGAAAUGCUGUAUAACUGCCACAUAGAAUAUAGUUUAAACCUGAGGUUUUACGGAGCGACGCAACAUGCACGGUGCCAUCUCCAGUGAUGCUUAACGGUGCAUCCGGGAUAUGAAAAGAUGACACUGCAAAUUCCCACAAACAUCAUGCAGAAUUCACGGACUGGAAUGGUUGUUGGUGGAAGAUGGUGCAGAGUCUAAGAGAAUUGACGUAUUAUCUUGGAUCCCAGUGGCAAGGGAACACUUCUGUCCUACAAUAAUCUCUCCCAUCCCCAACAGGAAAAAGAUGGGGAUGAAACCUUGUUACAGCAAUCUCAAACACAGGUGUACUUAUCAUUGGCUUUUCCAGCGACUCCUCUUCCUUCUCACUGGCAGCCAGCACACCUGGCAUCCCGCACCUGCCACUGACUUCCUUUUAACAACUGAUCUGGACAUCAUGAUUUUAUGACCUUGCAAACUAAAACGCGAUCUCUUUACUGUAAUAAAGAAGAAAGAAAAAACCAGCUGCUUCUAUAGGCAUUCUGUAUCCUCACUUAAUUUUCCCUCGAUGUUUAUACCUUCUCUAGACCAGCAUAUUUUUUUGGAAACUCUGACACAUGCUUGAGAAAAAUUUGCCUAUGAAAUUUUGUUUCUGACAAGAAUCAACCCAAAGUUUGUGCUUCGGCCAUAAAAUUCAUGCAGAAAGUUAUUUAUUUUUAAGCUACAUGUAUGUGACUGAAUGGCUUAUAAUCAGCAUUUCUAUUAUGGCUCAAAUGACUUUUGAGGGUUAUUAUUAUUAUUAUUUAGAUUUUAUAUGGAUCUACACACAGUCAUGACAUCUUAGAAUAAAUCUUUCCUGUUCCUGAGAGUGAAAACACUUCCUGGAGGUAUAACUCAUUACUCUCACCCCUAGAUUCCAUGGCCUUGACAACUGCAGGCAUCCUAAGUUAACAUCACAAUUCUUGUCAUUUCUCGAUCAGUCUCCUUAUGGCUUCUUUUGCUCAUCCUUUUUCUCCAAUGGCUUAUAUAUUCACUAUAACAACAUUAUAGAUAAGAUGUGACAAUUUCUAGAGGGUAGGCGUGCCUACCAUAUUCUUCAUGAAUAUCCUUCAUGAAUAAAGAAUUCUAUACUCUUCUGAGCUACAAGAUAUGUAGGAACAAGAAAGAUCUGGGGCCACAGACAGGUGGUUCAUCCACUGGACAUGUGACAAUCAGUUAAGAAAUUAAAACAGCAGAGUUGGCCAGGAGCGGUGGCUCACACCUGUAAUCCCAGCACUUUGGGAGGCUGAGGUCAGGAGUUCAAGACCACCCUGGCCAACAUGG